rnacentral:rRNA from 1 species
GAAGGUGGGGAUGACGUCAAGUCCUCAUGGCCCUUAUGUCCUGGGCUACACACGUGCUACAAUGGCGGUGACAGCGGGAAGCCAGGCAGCGAUGCCGAGCCGAUCCUGAAAAGCCGUCUCAGUUCAGAUUGCACUCUGCAACUCGGGUGCAUGAAGGUGGAAUCGCUAGUAAUCGCGGAUCAGCAUGCCGCGGUGAAUACGUUCCCGGGCCUUGUACACACCGCCCGUCACACCAUGGGAGUGGGCUGCACCAGAAGCCGGUAGUCUAACCUUCGGGAGGGCGCCGUCCACGGUGUGGUCGAUGACUGGGGUGAAGUCGUAACAAGGUAGCCGUAA